UAUUGAGUUCUUUGAAGCAAAGGAGAGUUGUUUGCAUGUCUCGCCUUUUUGUUGCCUUUGAAAGCUGGCAAUAGCAAUUUGUUAUUGCAAUGUGCUCGAGGCUUUUUAAGGGGGGUGAGGGGGCAAAUGGCAAUCUGCUUUUCAAAAUUGCUCAUAUCCUUUAACACCUGUGCACUAUAAGCAAAGUUUGUUCCCGCAAGUCAGCUAUAUUGUGAUUUGGACAUGUGUUUGUUAUGUGGAUCCCCUUAUCAAAAUAUUGACCAGCUUUGANGANAUAUUGAUUUAUCAAUUAUCCCAAAGCAAAAUGGGAAGUGUAGUGGUAUGGUGGUUUGUAAAUAUACAUAGUAUAUGUGUGCAUAUAUUCACAAAAGAUGACUCUAAAGGGGAAAAUGGCUUUGUCUUCAUCAUAUAAACACACUGCUGUAAUUUGUGUUGUAGAAUGANAAAUGGCUCAAUUGUGAGCAAAAAANUCAAUACAACUUUCAACAAUGGAUCUCUUGGCUCUCGCAUCGAUGAAGAACGCAGCGAAAUGCGAUAAGUAAUGUGAAUUGCAGAAUUCAGUGAAUCAUCGAAUCUUUGAACACACCUUGUGCUCCUUGGGUUACCUAUGGAGCAUGCCUGUUUGAGUGUCAUGUUGAUCUCAAUUCCCUUAGGCCUUUUUUUGAAAUUCAAAUGAAAGGCCUGUUCAGGGUUAUUGGAUUUGGAGGUUCAUGCAGGUCCCCUUUGUAAGGGAAUCAGCUCCUCUUAAAAAUAUUAGCUUUGGAGGAUGAAGCAAAAAGGGCUCAGCAUUGUUCAAUUGGCUUUUCAUGGUGUAAUAAUUGUUUCAUCAUGUACUAUAUACAGUGCACAGGAAAGUAAAGUAUUCCUGGGAGACUUUUUGUANCAUUUCUCUGCUUUCUAGUUUUGUCAGGUCUAUCUGGCAAUUCAUAUAUUCUUUUUGGCCUCAAAUCAGGUAGGACUACCCGCUGAACUUAAGCAUAUCAUUAAGCGGAGGAAAAGAAACUAAC
rnacentral:rRNA from 1 species